rnacentral:rRNA from 1 species
GACAGAGGUGGCAAGCGUUGCUCGGAUUCACUGGGCUUAAAGGGCGCGUAGGUGGUCUUGUAAGUCAAAGGUGGAAUUCCACAGCUUAACUGUGGAACUGCCUUUGAUACUGCAAGGCUUGAGUCAGGUAGAGGAGGGCGGAAUUCCCGGUGUAGCGGUGAAAUGCGUAGAUAUCGGGAGGAAGGCCGGUGGCGAAGGCGGCCCUCUGGCACAAUACUGACGCUCAGGUGCGAAAGCGUGGGGAGCAAACAGG